ACUCCUACGGGAGGCAGCAGUGGGGAAUAUUGCACAAUGGGGGAAACCCUGAUGCAGCCAUGCCGCGUGUGUGAAGAAGGCCUUGGGUUGUAAAGCACUUUCAGUAGGGAGGAAGGUAGUGUAGUUAACACCUGCAUUAUUUGUACGUUACCUACAGAAGAAGCACCGGCUAACUCCGUGCCAGCAGCCGCGGUAAGUACGGAGGGUGCGAGCGUUAAUCGGAAUUACGUGGGCGUAAAGCGCAUGCAGGCGGCCUGUUAAGUCAGAUGUGAAACGCCCGGGGUCUUAACCUCGGAAUUGCAUUUGAAACUGGCAGGCUAGAGUCUUGUAGAGGGGUUAGAAUUUCAGGUGUAGCGGUGAAAUGCGUAGAGAUCGUGAAGGAAUACCGAG
rnacentral:rRNA from 1 species